rnacentral:lncRNA from 12 species
ACCCCAUACAUGACAUAUUCUGACUAAGUUACAUUUCUGAUUGGGUUAAACAGAAAGGAUACCCGUUGUAAUGCUAUUUCUCUUUGUUGUUUUUACCUGCCACUAGUUUUAUACUUAUACAGCACAAGAAAGUUUGCUAAGUACUUCACAAAUAUUGCAAAAUUUAAUAAAUUAUGUAAACUGGGGCACCUGAGUGGCUCAGUCAGUUAAGCGUCUGCCUCCAGCUCGGGUCAUGAUCCCAGAGUCCUGGGUUCGAGUCCCACAUCAGGCUCCUUGCUCAGCAGAGAGUCUACUUCCCCCUCUCUCUGUCCUUCCCCCUGCUUGUGCGCAUUCUCUCUCUCUCUCAAAUAAAUAAAUAAAAAUCUUUAAAAAUAAAUUAAGUAAAUUAAAAUAAACUUCACAAAGAGCUGUGACUCAGAGUUAUCUUGUAGGUUAUCUAUGGCAACAGAAUCCUGGCUGAUACAUUGCUCUGAUCUUUUGUAGAUGAAGAAACGGAGGAUCUGAGAGGUGGAACGGUUUGCUUACAAAUACACCGUAGUGAGAACUGAAGUUUGGCUUGGAACCCAGGCCUGUAAAUCUGUGUUCUUAAUUGCUGUGCUCUUCUGUGCUCAGUCAUGCUGGGUUACACUUUUGCAAAACUGCAACACAGAGACUGGAUCCUCCUCCACUUGAGUCCAAAGAGAUAUCAAAGUGGCAAAUCAAUGCAUUUUCCCCCCAGGGUCAGGGGCUCUGUCUUUGAGAAGAUGUCAGCACAGAAAAUUGUUUACGCAGCCUGGGUCCCUGCUGCUGCUUCCGAAAAAUACAAUAUUUAUGGAAUCCAGAAAUUCACAGAUAUCAAACCCUCUUUCCUUGCUAUGUGGGCACCACUGGCUUUACCAGGGACGGGUAUCCCAAGAAACAAAUUAAUGCCUGUUUGAUUAAACAAUGAGAAGGUAAACAAAGCCAUGGUUAAUGAAUUUAGUCAUUGUUUUCCUCUGCUAGGACAUUUGCCUGUGUUAGAUCUCGCUGAUAAUAACACUGUUAAAUAAUCAGACCAUGAUAUAACCAAGCUAUAUACUUUUCCAUGCUAAUCAUCUUGCAGGAUCGCUACACACUCCAGGGGGUUCCAACAGAUUCAGAUGGGCUUUGAAUGGGAGUAGUUAAUCAAACUCGCUGUAUCAAUUAGCACUCCCUUGCUUAUAAAUGACAAGAAACUCAUAUGAAACUGGCUGAAGCAAAGAAAGAAAUUUGUUGGUUCAUGAAACUGAAAAUAAAGCAGAUGUAGAACUGACUUUGAGUUGGUCU